rnacentral:lncRNA from 1 species
UGAAGAUGACAUUACAAAAACAAAUUUACAAUAAUAUAGUAACAAUCACCAAAGUUAUUUAAAAUGCACGAAUAAAUAGUCCAGAAUAAAAGGCUACAAAAAAAAUAAAGAAAACUUAACUGGAAUUAAACUAAAACAGCAGGGACAAUUCGAAAAUAAAACAAUAACAAUAAAAGGACCAAUAAUCAAUGCACGAAAACAGCUAGGGACUAAAACUGGCAAUAUACCAAAUCCCAAAUGCUGCGUUUAAGCGCGGAUCCAUUUGCAAACGAGUGUAAAUCACAGGGCUAAAUUAAUAAAAAACAAAACAAGAAUACGGGCUGAUUUGAAUACGGCGCGAAAGGGAGGGACUGAUAUGGAAAAUAACCCUUCACCGCAAAGGCGCGCGGAUCGGGCAUAAAGGGGGUGGCCUAGACAGUGUCGUUUGAGACCAUUAUCAUUGGUCUAAACGGUGCCGUUUCUUACUCCCUUAAAAUCCCCAACAAAACACCCCGUUCAGCCGAACCCCCAUCCAUUUUCUUCUUUUCCAAACCCUAAAUCCCCUUUGAAACUGCCAAUUCUCCUUCCCCUAGCAGCAGUCAACAGAUUUAGACUGGAGAGAACACCUUUCAGCCUUUCAAUCUCCUCUUAACUUCGAUAUUAACUAAGCAAGAGGAGAUCCACGGCGUGCUUUCAAGGUAAACUCCCUCUUUUCCCUUUUUUAUUCAUGCCUUCGAGUAAAAAACAACAAAUAAACAAAAUAUCAAGCCGAAAAAAAAGGAACGCCUCCGAGAUUUCAGUUGGAAAAUCACCUUUAAGAAUCGAUUGUUUUCUAUUGCUUUUGUUUUUGUAUGUGUAUUUCUGUGUUUAUGUGGCGUUUGAGUGUGUAAUAUGCGUGUAUAUAUUGCAUUCGUCACCAAAAUACACUGAUUUUUGAGGUCUUUAUAGCCGAAAAGAAAGAAUAAUAAAAAUACAAUUUUCAUUCCUUUCCAUUUGCUACUCUGCUGUCGUUUUUUUUUUUUGUAUGUAUUUGCUGCUGUGGUUUGUCCAUUUCUUCGCAGGUACAGGUGCGUUGGCGCUCGGGUACGGGGCUGGGCUGGCGUACGGAGACGCGUGUGUGUGGCUGCUGGAGGGUACGGAGGCCAGGGCUGAGGCUUGGCUGCGGCGCGAGAGUGGGAACUGCUAGGGUUUCUGAAGUUUUAAUGUUCUGGGCCUAUCGAGCCUUGUAAGUUUGGGUCAGGUUUUAAAUUUGGGUCUAAGUUUAGUUAUUGGGCUUGGGUUAUGUAGCUGGGUUUAGGUUUGUUAUAAAACUGGACUGUUGUAUUGGUUUAGUUUAAUUUAAUUUUUUUUAUUUACUUAUUUUGUAUAUAUUUUGGUUUCUAGUGGGCCCGGGCAAAUUGGCCAUUUACAAUAUUGAUUUGUUUUUAAAGCUAAAUUUGAGGUAAUUUAGAAAUCAUAUGAACACUAUUAAGUAUAGAGAUAUUCUUAAUGUAUUGAAUCUUUAUUCUACAAACAGGUAAAUUCUGCAUCGAAUUACGGUCAUAUUAACUUGCUAUAAUUAUAUGCAAUUUUAAGUUUUAGGAUUAUCUUGUAUACAUAAAUGAAGUCUGUGUGAUAGCAUGGCAUUUACGUGGGUAUGAAGAAUUUGUAUAUUAUAUAAUUUUGUGACAUGAAAGUUUAUAUGGUAAGAUGUUUGAGGGUAUGGCUGAAUGGAAUGGGACUUCAGUCGACAAAUACAAUUGUGUGUGAUACGUCUUUCCUUUCAAUGGUAUGACCUUAAACCCAAAUCUUUAAAUACCAUGUAUAUAACCAGGUUGCACUGAAAAGAUUAAAUUUUGUUAUUACUCUUUUUUUUUAAGUAAAGGUUAUGAAUUUAACCUUUAUAUUUUUAUUUUUUCUUAAUUUUUAUAUUUUUUAAAUUUUAGUCUGCACUAAAUAUUAAUUGUUAAAUUUAUCAAGUAAAAUUCUAUUAUUUCUAAAAUUUGAUGCGUCAAUAUAAUGUUGUGUCAGUUUAUUAUUUUCAUAUUACUUACUAAAAAUUUAAUUAAUAGAUACUAUUAAUUGUCAUUUGUAUUAAUACUGAAAUUUUAAAAUAUAAAAAAUAUGAGGACUUAGAAAGAUCCGAUUAGAGACAAUGGGCUAAUUGUACACACAGUACCAGACUAAUAAUUGAAUUUAACCAAAAAAAAGUACAGGACAAAUUUACCAAUAUAAAGACUAAAUCUACGGACUAACUGUAUACAUAGUACAAGACUAAUAAUUGAAUUUAACUAAAAAAGUUAAAAAAUAUAGUACUAAAAUUUAUCAAUACAAAGACUAAAUCUACAACUUUUUACAAAAUACAUUGAGUAAUUAACAAAUAUAUAUAUAUAUCCAAUUUUUUUUAGGCCUAAGAGCCAAAUAAAAGCUUUUUCAUCUUAUGUGUCUCUCUACUUAGCCAGCCAAAUGGACGGAUCGGAUUAAAUCAGAUAUACUCUAAAAUUACCACAAGGUAUAAGGACUCAAAUGUAAUUUCAAAAUAACAGCGUUAGUAAGUGGCAGCCAGAUUUUUCAUGUCUGCAGUCGAGUCAAACUGACAGUAGCCAAUCGCAACACAAACAGCGGAGUGGAAGAAUGAAAAUUUGGAGUGUCAAACUCAACCCAGAUCCAGUACAAAAUUAGUCUCUUAAUAAACACAAGAAGCUUCUUAAUGCUUCAAAACCUGACUAAACUCAAAUAACAAAAAUGAUAGCUUGAAGAUCUAAAAGGAAUUUUUUUUCUUUUUUAGUUGAAGAUAGAAAAGAAAAGAACAAUGGGGUGUUCAUUUUCAGGGUUGAAUGCUUUAUACGACGCCGUAAAUGGUGGAGGGGACGUUUGGAUCAAUGACAACAGGUUCAGGAUCGUGAGGCAGUUGGGUGAAGGUGGAUUCGCUUAUGUCUAUUUGGUGAAGGAAGUCAUAUCCGACGCCUCUUCAGCUUCAUCUGUUGGCUUAGCCAAAAAAGUCAAGGACCCUUCUCAUCUUUCCGGUUCGUCCCCUUAAAAAAUUCAUCUUUUUAAUCUUUUUUUUUUCUGAGAAAUUUAUGAUUUGGGUUUUUCUCUAUUUCAAUGGUUUUUCAAUGAUCUGGUUCUUUCUAAAUCUUGGGUUUUUUUUUUUAAUUUGGUCCUUCGCUUCUUGGUCUUAAAUGAUUCUGUUUUUUUACUUUUGUUUGGAGGGUUUUAAGUGAUUCUUUUUGUUGUAAAUUAAUCGAGUUUUUGUGAACUUACUGCUACUGAAUGCUCUUGCCUAAGGAAAAUUGAAGCUAGCUUUGGUAUUUCAUAUGAAGAUUUAUGGUAAAUUGUGUGGGGUUAUUUUAUUUCGGCUUAUUAUUUAGCCUUGGAUCUCUAAAAGUGUGCUAUUUUUUCUUCUUUGCCACAAUAGUAGUAUGAUUAUCUCAUAAAAUUGAAUUCAUAUAGGUAAGUAGGUGGAACUUUAUGUGAUUAUCAAACUCUUGUUGGAGUUAUAGACCUCAAAUUAUGGAUAUCACUUUAAUCUUUGAUCUCAGUUAUGUUGUAAAAAACGAAGGCCUUGGACAUAGAAUUUCAUACUUCAUAGCGAAUCUUGUCUUUGGUCUAUGACAGUUUGACUGCUUGCCUAACGGGUUCUGAUUUAUGCAUCUUUAAUCUGGAUUUACAUCUUAAAUUUGGGUUGCAUUUGUAGAUGAUGGAACUUAUGCAAUGAAAAAAGUUCUCAUUCAGAAUAAUGAGCAGUUGGAAUUGGUUCGUGAGGAGAUCCGUGUUUCAUCCUUGUUUAGUCACCCUAAUCUGCUUCCACUUCUUGAUCAUGCUAUUAUUGCCAUUAAGGUAAUUAUUCAGAUACCUUAUUCUCUUAUGUCCUAAACGUUUUUGAAUUUAUCAGCUCAUUUACCUUUAAGGUUGGUGUAAAACUUAAAAUGGGAACAAUUUUCGAGAUGCUCUUGUGUUUCGUUUGAUGGCUCAUUUCUUCUUCUUUUGAAGGACUUUUAAUGCAAAAUUGUGUUUGUCUAAAACAAUUUCAUUUCAUUGGCUAGCCUACACAAGAAGGAUCAUGGAAUCAUGAAGCAUAUUUGUUAUUUCCUGUUCAUUUGGAUGGAACAUUACUGGACAAUUCCAAUGCUAUGAAAGCUAAAAAGGAAUUCUUUUCUACCUCAGAUGUUCUUCAAAUAUUUCGGCAGGUGAGUAAAACUAUCUUAUUGUUUUGAACUAUGCAAUCCCAUUCCUCAUGUUAUAAUAUUUCUCAAAAAAAAUUGGUAACUAUGCGAUACAAGUAAUCAAAUGUAUCUCAUGGAUUUUGCUUAGACUUUACCAUCUAGCUUCAAUGUUAUAAUAUUUGCUCAUUUAAUGUUUUAGGAUCCCCUCUUGACUUCCUUUUUUGUAUUUUUCGGAUUUAUGGAUGUUAUAACUGAUUAGAAAUAAUUGUAAGCAUUUUAACCGGACCAAAUUAUAUCUGCAGCUGUGUGCAGGGCUGAAACAUAUGCAUGGUCUUGUUCCUCCAUAUGCACAUAAUGAUGUCAAGCCAGGAAAUGUUCUUUUAACCCAAAGAAAAGGGCAAGCACCACUUGCUAUAUUGAUGGAUUUCGGUAGUGCUCGUCCUGCAAGGAAACAAAUCCGCUCUCGUUCUGAGGCACUCCAGCUUCAGGUACUUAUUUCUUCUUUAUUUUUCUUCAAUUCCAAGUCUUUUUACACUACACUCUCCUAUCACAUAUAGCACUUCCAAUUGUGUUGCUUACGUUGCCUGAGUUUGAAUAGAAUAUUUUAAGACACUUUCUCUGUAUAUCAGCUCAGUGCCUUUUCUACAAUACUGAUGGUGGAUUUUGGUUUCAUAUGUAGGAAUGGGCAUCUGAGCAUUGUUCAGCACCUUUCCGAGCUCCUGAGUUGUGGGAUUGCCCAAGCGAUGCUGAUAUUGAUGAGAGAACUGAUAUUUGGUCGUUGGGAUGCACUUUAUAUGCAAUAAUGUAAGUAACACUUAUAAAUGCACUUCUACAAUGUUUGCUUUCAUUUUACAAACUCUUCCUUUUUUUUGGUUCUGUAAUUUCACAGUCCUCCAACUUUCAUUUUAUAAUCACAUGAAGUUGUGAUUUGUUUAUCGAACUCUCCCUUUUUUUUGAAGUUUCAUCUUUUCCUUCCUAAAGUCUUGGAAUGAAAUCAUUUUUCAGAGUUACAUGCGUGUCUCUCUGCAUCUUGGAUGUAAUGUAAAUGCUAUCCAGAAACAAGCUAAAGAAACCAUAAACCGUUUGCAUUAUAUAGUUAUUAUGUUAUUAAUUGCCAUUUGUUGUAGGUAUGGGGUAUCUCCGUUUGAGUACGCACUUGGAGAAUCCGGAGGAAGCCUACAAUUGGCCAUUAUAAAUGCACAGAUCAAGUGGCCAGCUGGACCUAAACCACCAUAUCCGGAAGCUCUUCACCAGUUUGUGACAUGGAUGCUUCAGCCUCAGGCUGCUGUUCGCCCACAGAUAGAUGAUAUCAUAAUUCAUGUAGACAAGUUGAUCUCAAAGUUUUCACAGUGAUACCAUAUAGGGGUGCGAAGAUUAGAGCAUUCCAGCCAUUAAUGCAUACAAGUUAAGUCCAUUGAAAUACUUCCGGAAGUGAAAAGCGUUUAUCAAAGCAAUAGCAGUUCUUUAGUAAUGUUACAUGGUUUGGACUUAGAUGUCUUAGUUGUGUCGAUAACUAUAUAACGUCAUGUUCUGUAAUUUAUUGACGUCCAGAUUUCUACAUUCAUGAUUCGAUUUGAUAGAAAAACCUCAAUAAUUUGUGUUUUCCAUUUAGUUUAAUGUUUCAGAUAUACCAGUUUUUUUCUGAAUUUUUAAGCUAUUAGUCAUUUAGUUCUGCAAUAUCGAGUGAAUAUCCGAUACGUGUACAUUGAUUCUAUAUAUGUUAAAAGAUUAUAUUUUCAUAUUAUGCUCUAAUGUAUAAUCAAGCUUCAACGGAGAUGCUGCCAUAAACAUAUAUUUGUUAAGACAAUCAGGUAAUUUGAUUUUGGGAUGAUUUCAAAGAGAGAAUUUAGAUUCGAAUCUUAAGAUACGGGUUGUUUUGGAAGAUGCAGUCCUGAAUUUCGAAAGGUUUUCAUGGAUAGUAAAACAGACACAGGAACUUACCCAGCAGACGGAAAGAAGUGGAAAACAAAAACUAUAAUAACUUACCCAGAACAUGGAAAGAAGUGGAAAACAAAGACUGAUGAAGACAAUGGGGAGUAUAUAAGUUAUGAAAUACCCUCUUAUACGACAUGAAAAUAACAUUUUUUAGGGUAAAAGGACAUUCUAACUUUUAAUACAAAGGCCUCCUUGGUACUUUCACCCAUUUUUUCGUCAAGAUUCAUGGAUUCAUCUAACUAGCUAGAUUAAAAGUUUGAGCCCUGCCAUUGGCUAGCCUUGGUGCUUUUUAAACACUCUACGGAACCAUUAGUACAACAAUCCAAGACACCAAAGUAACCAAAUGAAGACCUUCCAGUAUUCUCCAAGAAAGGUCAAUAGAAACAAAAUGAUACGAUGCCAAAUCUCAGCAACAGAAGCAAAUAGAAGAAUUCAGGGUUUAACUCAGUUGAUUCAUGAAAUAUUCUUAUAAAGGUGGCAUCAAGCAAAUUUGAAGUUAGAAUCCUAGAAUUUACAAUACCUUUUUCUUUGUACGCCCCAAAAGAAGAGAUAUGUAUAAAGAAAAGGAAUCGAGCAACUUACGGCAUGGUGAGAGCUCAAACUAGGAUGACAAUGGAAGGUAAAGUCCAAUAUACUUUCUUCGCCUAAGAAGUAUGGAUAAACAACAUCAACCCUCAAGAUUAAACAUAUAUUCAACUUACAACUAGAAAUAAAUGAAUAAAUAAAAAGAUGACCAUGCCUUUCGUCACCUUUCGUGUGUACGAGGAAAAAAAAUGAAAGAGAAAAAGGAAAGGUACAACACUGCAUUAAUUUCAUCAAUAAUAGGAAAUAUGUAGAAUUGAAAGAAAAUUACAUUUGUAUUGAAAAUUAUGAUUUCCUAAAUACCUUGGGGAACAAGUAAAUAUAGUGGUUUGCAAGCUUUCAUAUUCAAUCCUCAUGUUCAUCCUCGCCUUCAGAAUCUGCAGAACACCAGGACAUUCAGUUAGUACAAGGAAAUUCCUAGAACUAAGGUAGAAAAUCUGCUUAAUUUAAGGAAUUCCAACAUAAGAUAAUGUAAUAAAUGUCCUUGUCCUAAUUCAUCAACCAAAACAAACUUCACUAGGAAUAUAAACAAAACGAGCUGCUUAAAUGGCUUUAUAAUAUCAGCAGAAUAAUUAUCCCUUUUCUCAAAUCUCAUGCCAUCGGAGAUAAACUUCGGUCUCUUCUUGGGUGAACUCUACCUUUUAUCAAGUUUGAACAUAUAAAUACAUACAAUUUUCCAACAACAAUAACCCUAACCUAUUAAGUUUGAACAUAUAAAUACGGUUAAAAUAUGCCAUAUAAGUCUUUGUACUCUUCAUAAAUUUGGAAUUUAGUCCUUAUACUUUUAUUUCUAAGAAUUUAGUCCUACUGUUCAGAUUUCAAAACAAGUCCAACUGUUAACACUGUUAAAAUGUUUUUGUUAAAUUCGAGUUCAUUACAACCCAUUUUUUUAGUUACAUUACUACAAAGUGAAUUUUUUUUUAUUUCAAAAUGUCAACCAACAAAUUAAACAAACAAAAAAAAAGUUACAGUGUUAAAAAUUAGACCUAAAUUUUGAAAUCUGAAAAGCUGAUGACUAAAUUCAUGAAAAAAAAAGUACAUGGACUAAAUUCUGUCUGUGAAGAGUACACGGACCUCUGACAUAUUUGAAUCUAUAAAUAUGUGCCUAGAAAAAGGUUACUUAAGACUUUAAAAACCAUUUUCCCUUAUUCUUGAUAUUGGAUAUCUAUUCCUUUCCCCUAACGAUGCUAAAGAAAGAAAAAGUUGUGCAUUCUCAUUAAAUUUUCUUUCUUUACCUAAAAUUGUGUUUCUAAGCCUACCGGCAGUUUAGAAGCAUUGCUAGAAGGUUCAUACCUGAUCGAACAUCAUCAACCUGUCCGCCGGAUUUGACUUGUCUCAUAAUCACUCGUAUCAUCAAGAUCCACCAAUAAAUAUGAACAACAAGCAAGCAGAAAAGAAGAGUAUUAAACAAAUAGUAGUAUAUAGAUCCAUCCACCAUGUGCUUCUCCUUAUCCAAUGUUAAAAGAACUUCAUAGCUGUCAAAAGUAAAUUCGAAAAGGAAAUAAAAAAGCAAGGGAUUAACCUCCUACCAAAGAAAGCAAAACAUUAAAUAUGGAAGAGGAUGAACUAGGGACUUUUCCAAUGACAGUGAAAGGUCUCCAUUAUCGGCACACCAAGCAAAUCAUUAAACGUUUUCUGUAGGAUGUUAUAAACUAAGGCACCAAAUACAGAGAUAAACCCAAAAAUAUUUAAAAAGCUUCAGAUAAGCUGAGACAAAGGCUCACGUUGUACUCCGGAUUAUCCAGAAUGGAAAUAACGACACGCGUAGAAUGGUCCAAGAGAGAGCAAAAAGAACAAAUGCAACACUAGCAAGCCAUUCCAAGCCACUAUAUUUUGACAUCUUUGCAGUUUCUAGGAACACAUCACUCCCUUCAUGAAGGGCUAAAGUAACUAUACCUACACGAGCAAACCUGCAAGAGGCAGAAUGAAAUUGUUAAAAGGCAAAAAGGAUGGAAUAUUUACUUAAGCCGAAAUUUGAUUAAUCCUUGAUAAGCAAUCAUAAAUAAACUCAACUCAGAAAUACCUGCAUACGUAAGAUAGAACAAUGAGAAUUAUAGUUGCUAUGUGGUGAACCAUGGUCACCAAAAAGUCUGAACGUCUUGUCUCCCAAAAAAUCAAAGCAAAUAGGGCGUAUGUAUAGAACCCGCCAGCAUAUGUGUAAUAUGCUUUUAACUUCAAUCUUAGCAUAAAAAACAAGCAAAUCAUAAGCCUCACAUGUCAAAUAUCAAAAGUUAGUACUACAUGAUUUUGUAGAAAAUGAUUUAUACACGAGUUUGUGAGCUUACUUAAUUUUUUGAUCAGGCCAAACCUGUUUUCCAGGCCCUUCCCAAAAGUACCUGCUAUUGGUAAGCCAAGGCUCACCGUAGGCAACAUAUAUAGAUAAUAACUCUGAGGAAAAAAAAUAGAUACAUUUCCAUGCUGACUCUUUGAAUUUAUUGAGUUUCUUCCUGUUAUCAUGCUUCUGAACAUCAUGUAAGGUGUGGCCUUUACCAAGGACCAGUCUCCUAGCUAAAUUCUGCACCAAAUAUUAACAGCUACUUAACAUCAACCAAACUUUAGAAAAAGAAAAGGUAAAUAGCAAAAGAUAAGAUGUAGAACCAUCAUUCACAAAUGUAGGUUUCAAUAAUUUUUACCAGGAACCAGUAAUAUUUUGUUACUCUUUCAUGAUAUUGUUAAAACCAUUCAAACAUAAGCAAACCGAUUACAGAAAAGGUUCCUAGAUGUGGCCUAGAUGCUUUUAAGUAUCACAGCAAUCAUCCUUGCCGAUCAUUUUCAAUUGAAUGGCGAAUGGACUUUGGAACAAGGCAGUUCAGACCAUAAUGUUAAUGAUCAUAUGGAAACAGACAAGUUUGUUCUUAUAAUCAAAUUUUCAUGUUAGCAUUCGGAAAACAAUGCUUAUCACUUAAAACCCCAGAAAGCUAACUCCGUUACAAUAAAUAGGUGAAACAAUUAAACAAAAUCAAACUGAUUUUGAACAUGAGUUGAACAGAACUGAAAAAAUUAAUCAAAGAUUGUCAUUCCAAGUCCAUUAAAACUAGAAAAGAAAAUUAUUAAGUUGAGAAAUGUGCAGAAUUGUGAUUUCUAUUAAGUACAAAAAAAAUAAGAAAAACCCAAUAUGAUUGUAAAAGUUUUGGACAUUCAUUAAUCUCUAUUAUUUAUGAACUACUAAGAACAUUAUGAACAUCAUUGCAGUUUAUGGUUCAAACCCGAUUUCCCAAAAGUUAAGUUUCAACUCAAAGUUAAGAGUUAUAGAGUCAUUUUAACCAAUAUUAUCUAAACAGUGUUCUUUUUAUACAUCAAACAAACACACACAUAGAGAAAUAUAUUCAAAGUUACAACUUAAAUCGACAAUUCCAAUCAGAAUCAAUAAUUACAAGCACGAAAUUGAAUAACUCUACAACUAAUUAACUUAACUAGCAAUUACAAUCAGAACCAAUAAUUACAAGCACUAAAAUAAAUAAUUCUACAACCAGUUAACAACUAACUAACAAUUCCAAUAAGAAUCCAUAAUUACAAGCACUAAAUUAUAUAAUUCUACUAUUAAUUAACUACCCAACUAACCCGAACCCGAAUAAAGCCGAGAAAAUCCACACAUGAACUACACAAGAUGGGACUCUUAACAGAGAGCUCAAAGUCUAAGGAAAGUGCCAAACAUAUAUUAUCAAACUACAAUCAGUUGGCACCAAAAAUGGCCUAAGACCCUAAUUCACUCAAACAAAAAAGAAUCCUAUAGCACAGUCAAACCCCCCCAAAAGUCAACUCAAGUUCUUUUCUUCCAUGGAAAGCAAUUCCACCAUAAACUACAAAUGAUCAACGAUGACAGUUAAAGAAAACAUGAAAAUUAAAAAAAAAAAGUUGAAAUACCUCAAAGAUAAAUUUGUCUAGGAAAAGCCUGACAAAAAGGAAGAAAAGAGCAAAGAAAGGGAGGUAAACGAAAUCAGUGAGCUGUGGGUAAAACUCAGAGUCCCAGUUGAUGGAACUAAGCAAACCAAAAAGACCCAUUUGUUUAUUUUCGAAGAAAAUUGAAAGAGAAAGAGGGAUAAACUGAAAAGAAUAUUUUUUAUUUUGGCAAAUGGGGUGAAAUGAGCUGUGGUUGAGAUUGAGAGAGACAGCCAUUUUCAACUUUAAUUUUAUGAAAUCGAUAUCAUGUUUGCUUCCUACUUCUGAAAAAGAAAAGUAAAAUUUAAUUAAAAAAUAAUGCAUCAGUGAAGAUUGAUUGACCCACAGAGAAUAGAAAUUUCGACUGGCAGGCUGCAAAUUGCAGAAGGUAUGGGUUGGAUAUAUUAUUUAGUUUUUAAAUAAAUAAAUAUAAAUAUGUAUUAUUAAUUAAAUAUUCCAAAUAAAAAAUUGUUUUAGAUAUUCAUUUUAUUCUAGUUUAAAAUAUGCCAUAAAUACCUUAGUUUCUUAUACUUUCAUUUUCAAGAAUUUUUUUCAUAUUUCAAAAUUUAGAUCCAACCAUCAAUACUAUUAAAUUUAUUGUUAAAUUUAUUAUCUUCAGAUUUUGAAAUAAAAAAAUAUUAAUUUAAUAGCUAUGUAAUUAAGAAAUAAUAUUGUAAAGAUAUGAAUUUAACAAAAAAAAAUUAAUAGUGUACUAAUUGGGCUUGAAAUUUUAAUUAGAUUAAAUUUUUGAAAACGAAAGUACAGAAACUUAUGCUAUAUUUUAACAUUUAUUCUAUUAUUCUUUUUGGAGUUUCACUGUUUCAAAUAUAAUAUAUUUAUAAGUAUAAAGAUAUAUUUGAUUGACUUGAUUGAUGGGUGAUACUAACUUAAUUGUGAAAUUACCAAAAAUUCAUUACAUUUACAAAGUAAGAAAUAUUAUUAUUCUUAUAUAAAAUCUCAAAAAAAAAAAUACGCGCUUAACAGCAUUUGAACAUAAAAUACUAUAGUUUUCAACAUCUCAAAUUUAUCAUUUUAACUAAAACAUCAUUUAUUUUUUGCAUCAAACUUUUUUAUAAAUAUAUUUAUUAUAUAAAUUUUUUCAUUCAUCGAUUCACAAUAAUCUAUUAAAAAUAAAAUUAUUAAGCAAUCCUAUAAAUAAGUUAUCGAGCCAUAUUCAAGGGUGAAAUUAGGGGGCUGGCAGAGACCCCGCCAUCCUCAAAAUGGAAAAUUUUCCAUUUAAUCUUUUUAAAAUUUUAAAUUAAUAAAGGUAAAAUUACAUUUUAACUUCUCUUAAAAAUAUAAAAAUUUGAUUUCUAUCUUUUAAAAAUUAUAAAGAUACAUACUAUUAAAAUGGUGAAAUUGUAUUUUUACUAUCGUAAAAAUUACAAUUUAAUAUCAUCCCCUAAAAAAAUUUAUGGUUUCACCCCUGGUUAUAUUUGAAUUUGGUCUAAUGUUUAUAUAUACACUAAUAAACUAAUAUGAUUUUUGCCCAAAUUUGUAUCACAAAUUAACUUAGAUUUAGAAAUUACAAGUCACUCGAAAGAAAUAAAAUAAGAAUAUUGAAAAUAAAGGCUUGUACGAGAAAAGAAACAACGUUAUAGAACGUGACCCGUUUUCUAUACGACAAACAAUUGAAAACAAGAAAUUAAAUUCGAAUAGACCCCAACCCGUUGUUUAUGAAAGAAACAAGAACAGAAGGUAUAGAAAAGAAAGAAGAACGCCACAAGCAAUAAGCCUUAAUAAGUUCAGUUCGUAUGUUAUUAAGAACUUAAGAGAAAAAUCUCACAAAAUGUAUAUUCAUUCAUUAUGGUCUAACCUUACAUAAGUAACUUAGGCCGAAAUUUAUAGACCUCCAAAAUGACUUUUAGAAUUUCUAUAAAGGGCUUUUCAAUUUCAGCAUUCAACUAGCUAUUAAAAUAAACAUUUAAUUUCAAUUAUAACUCAUAGUGGGCAACCAAAGAGUCAUGUCUUUUCACUUGAUUCAUGUGUAGUUGAAAAGUCAUGUCUCUUCACUUUGAUGAAGGCUUAAUGUUCCUUAAUUGUGUUGUUUUGUAGUCCUUUCAUCUCCUUUAAAACCAAAUGCCUUAAUGCUUGUGUAUUCAUCUCUUUUAUUGACACCAUGAUUGUAACAGCCUAAUUUUCAGUAUUGUCGAAAAUAGUGAUUCAAGAUUACUAAAUUCGAUGAGUGAGUUUUAAAAUUCAAUAAUUUAAUAUUUAUUAUUUAAGUGAGAUUUUAGAAGUAUUUUUGAAUUAGUGAAAUUUGUGAAUUAAAAGAAUUUAUUAGGUAAAUUGAGUUGAAAACAAGGAAACGAGACCUCAAUUUCAUAAAUCGAGCCAUAAAUAUUUUUAUAAACAUUUAUGGAGUGUUAGUGAAUUAAUAUUAAAGUUUGGUUAGAAAAUUUUAACGUUUUGAUAGUUAAUUAAUCAAAAAGGACUAAAGUGAAAAAUGUGCAAAACUAGUCAAUUAAGGAAUAAUGAUUAAAUAGCAUAAGUGGUAAUUAAAGGAGGACCAAAUAGGGAAUUAGACACAUGGGCAAUGGCUGGACGGCGUGUGGAAAGAAGAAAUAGAAAAAAUUUGGUGUAAACUAAGGGCAAAAUGAUAAUUUGGUUAGAAUUAAAAAUAAAACUAAUGACCAAAUUGAAAAUCUAGACAUUUCUUCAUGUUUCUCCACCAAAAAACAGCCAUUAAAGAGUCCCUCUAAGCUGUUUUUUUCAUAUUCUUGCUACAAGUAAGUUCAAUUCUUGGUUAUUUCUUGUAAUUUUUGUGAUUUUGAUACUUUUACAACUAGGUCUAACUAUUGAAUUCAUUAGUUUUUGAUUUUAUGAGUGAUUUUGAAAGUUUCCAUGGAUAAGUGCUGAAAUUUUAUGAUGAAUAAACAUGGAUUUGAAGCUUUAAUUUUGUUAUGUGAUGAUUUUAUUAAGUGAUUUCAAUAGAAAUUGAUUUUUAGGACCUAAUUGUGAAAAAGUUAAGAAUUAGGGUUUUGUGCUAAAAUUUCGAAUACAAAAUGUUGUGUAGUAGUUUAGAAUUAUGGAAUAAUGUGUUAAUUGUGAAAAAUUAGUUCAAUUGAUGGGUUAAUUGAUUAGGGACUAAAUUGUAAAAAAUAUAAAAUUUGAGGUAAAAGUGUAAUUUUAAAAAUUAAAGGACAUAAAUUGUGAAGUGAAUUAGAAUUGAAUUAGAUUCUAAUGACCGAAAAUUUUUAUAUUAGACCAAGAGCUCAAAGAAAGUCGUGGAAAAGAGAAAAUAGCUGAUUAGUCCCUGAAUUUUUUACAACUUCUGCAUAUUACCCCAGGUAAGUUCAUAUGGUUGAGUUCUCAUGAUUAUUUGUUAAUUUAUAAAUGAUAUAAUGUAUUAUCUCAUAUGUUUAUUAUUAAAUUGCAAUUAUUAUAAAAAUAUGAAAAUUUAGAUCAAAAGUUCAAAUUAAUAGAACGCGAGAUUGAGUAAAGGAAAAAUUGACGAAAAAUUACCCAAGUAAACCGAGAUUCAGCAUUUUUUGCGAAAUUCAGUGUUUGCUUUCAGUUUAGCUCUCAUGAGCUUCAGUUAACUCUUAUGAGUUUCAGUUUAACCCUAAUUGGGUUUCAGUCCAGCUCUUUUGAGCUUCAGUUUAACCCUUAUGGGUUUCCGUUCAACUCCUAUGAGCUUCCGUUCAACCCUUAUGGGUUUCAGUUUAACACUUAUGUGUUUUAGUGUAGCCUUCAGGCUUCUGUUUAUGAUAUACUCAAAUCUGUAAGUCGUUCUUUGAUUGGCAAUAAUUGGUAAGUUUUAUAUGAAAGUAUUGUGGAAGAACUUAAGUUAUUAUUGAUAUUGAGCUCAAAUAAGUGAAUUAAUCGAUUAAAGUUGUGGUUGGCAAGCAAUGUUAAUAAUAUGCUCUAUUUAAUGUCUAAUUAUAAAUGGUUUGGUAAGAUUUAUAUUUUAGGCCUAUGAACUUACUAAGUUUCUAUAAGCUUACCUUUGUGUGUUUAAUGUUCUUGUAGAUUAACGUGUAUUCAGAGGAUCGGAUCAACACAUCAACUCACACUAUCCAGAUUACUCGGGUAGAUAUUGUUAUACAUUUUUGGUUUAUAUGGCAUGUAUAGGUUUGGUUUGAUAAUGAAGUAGUUUGAAUUGAGAUUAUGAGACUUAGAUGUGUUUGU